UUUUGUCAUCUGAGCUGUGAAAAGCAAAGCAGAGAAGUGAGAACACUGUUUGGAAACGCAUUAGUGAUCAGGGAUGUAUUGCUCCGUGUUUACAGCCUGGCCUUUAAAGUGUGCAAUGACAGCUGCACGAAGGAAAUGUCUGAUAAAAGAUCACUUUAUUUCAAGACAACACUGUGAGGCUGUACCAAAUAUAAUGAGUAGGAAUGGACCAUAGGCUGAAGGCUCCUAUUCCUUACCAUCACAUUGGACGUGUAUUACUCAGCCAGCAGGCUGCCAGGACACUUUGGGGAUCACCGUGGGACUCUCCUUGGGUAAGUCCUUGCCCUUAAAUAGCUUCACCCUGGCACAGAUGGAAGCUAUGCUUGUUCUUUCCAGGCUUUUCCCCCAGGAUGGAGCUGAGUCAGUGCCAUCAGGGCAUCCUUCACACUGAGCCAUGAGCAGGUGAUUUAAAUCCCGGUGGUAAGUGAAUGGUAAAUUAGAAGCAGCUACUUCCCUUCCAGGGGGAUGGUAAUUUUUGCAAGGUUGGCUUGGAAGAGAAUUAAAGCCUCCCCAGAAAUAUAAAAGGACAGCCACAGACAUGGAGUAAGAUGUUUCAGGAAUGGUUUAGAGGGUGGAUGAUGGAAUGGAGAAGUGUUUCCUGCUUGUUCCCGUGUCUCCUGAGGCUGUGAUUCCUGCACAGUCUGGGAUGUUUUAUUUUAGCUUAAGGAAAACAGUGAGGAAAGGAAGAGCAAAUAUAACUCCUCAGGAGGCAGCAAGAGCUGCUGCGAGUGGAGCUCUGUCUUCUGAGGCUGCAAAACUCAAACCUCCCACGCCUUGCAGAGGGGUGAAGUCAACAAUUAUCCGUGCUAUGCAGCCCACAAAGAGGAAAAAUUCAGAGGAAGUAUUAACCGUGAGCAGGUCUAUGGGCUGGCAAGCAGCAGACGUGGCCCCACUUGUCCCAUCUUGGGCAUGGGGUAGCUUGGAGGAAGCCCAAAGUUUCUGAUCUCUUCUGAAGUAAGGUUACUUUAAAGUAGAACUCUCCUGGGCCAGCACUGGCUCUCUGUGUACCACUACAUGCUUAAGAGUGAAGACCAGACUUGCCAUUUCUGCAUGAGCUACCUCCAGGAAAGCCCUGAAGUAUCCUCUAGUUGGUUUUGAUGGAAAAACAAGAGAAAUCUGACUUUUCUGCGGAAUCACAGAAUUGUUUGAGUAUGAAGGGACCCUUAAAAGCCAUCCGAUCCCACUCCAUGCAAUGAACAGGGACACCCACAGCUCCAUCAGAUGGUGCUCUGAGGCCACCCAGCCUGACCUUGGGUGUCUGCAGGGAUGGGACAACCACCACCUCCCUGGGCAGCCUGUGCCACUGCCUCACCAACCUUAUUGUAAAGAACUUUUCCAUUCUGUGCAGUCUAAAUCUCUUGUCUGGUGGGGGUGUGUUACUAUGACUCAGGUUCAAGACCUCACACUGGGCUUUGUUGAACCUCACAAUGUUCUCCUGGUCCCACUGCUUGAACCUGCCUAGGUCUUUUUGGAGAGAGAUAUUAGAGAUAAUAACUCUAGACAUAAUGUUGUUUAUCUCUAAUAAGGUAGAUGGCAAGCUUUGGAUAUGGAUGGGAGCGCAAGGAGGUACCUUCCUCCAUUUCAAAUGAAGAACAUGGGAGCUUGCUUUGAGGAUACAGGAGUACACAUGGAGACCCUGGAUUGAGGAUAAGAUCACUUGGUUUACAAGUGCAGGUAACAGCAGGACAAGGGGAAAUGGUUUGAAGUUGAAGGAGGGAAGACUUAGGUUGGAUGUCAGGGGGAAGUUGUUUGCUAUGAGAGUGGUGAGGUGCUGGAACAGCUGCCCAGAGAGGCUGUGGAUGCCCCGUCCAUCCCUGGAGGUGUUCAAGGCCAGGUUGGAUGGGGCCCUGGGCAGCCUGGGCUGCUCUGAAAUGUGGAGGUUGGUGGCCCUGCAUAUAGUGGGGGGUUGGAGUUUCAUGAUCCUUGAG
ensembl:lncRNA